UUAGGUUUCAUGAUUCGUAACCCGGAUAGACAUAUACCGGUUUGCCAUGUGUAGUCGUUGAGAGGGAUUUUGCUUAAAUCAUUAUUGUUUGUCAUUCACAUAGACAUAUAGUGGGUUAGGUAAUAUUGAUGCUCAUAUGAAUUAUAUCAUUUUGUGGAUUUUGUCUGAUUUGGACAUGUUACAUCGAAAGAUGGUCAUGUUUCACUUUUGUGCUCCCGACUAGCAAUCCAUAGUAAUUAAUCAAGCAUAAUAAGAG
rnacentral:lncRNA from 1 species